rnacentral:rRNA from 1 species
GAUGAACGCUGGCGGCGUGCCUAAUACAUGCAAGUCGAGCGAACAGACGCUGAGCUUGCUCCUCUGACGUUAGCGGCGGACGGGUGAGUAACACGUGGAUAACCUACCUAUAAGACUGGGAUAACUUCGGGAAACCGGAGCUAAUACCGGAUAAUAUAUUGAACCGCAUGGUUCAAUAGUUAAAGACGGUUUUGCUGUCACUUAUAGAUGGUUCCGCGCCGCAUUAGCUAGUUGGUAAGGUAACGGCUUACCAAGGCAACGAUGCGUAGCCGACCUGAGAGGGUGAUCGGCCACACUGGAACCGAGACACGGUCCAGACUCCUACGGGAGGCAGCAGUAGGGAAUCUACCGCAAUGGGCGAAAGCCUGACGGAGCAACGCCGCGUGAGUGAUGAAGGUCUUCGGAUCGUAAAACUCUGUUAUUAGGGAAGAACAAAUGUGUAAGUAACUAUGCACGUCUUGACGGUACCUAAUCAGAAAGCCACGGCUAACUACGUG